AAAUUGAAGAGUUUGAUCAUGGCUCAGAUUGAACGCUGGCGGCAGGCCUAACACAUGCAAGUCGAGCGGAAACGACAACAUUGAAUCUU
rnacentral:rRNA from 2 species